UGCAACACGAGGACUUCCCA
rnacentral:rRNA from 1 species